UAUCACUCAGGUAAUAGCGAACCAAAUAUCUCGAAGAUCAUGACCGAAGAGAAAGGAUAGUUCAGAGUUCAAAAGCCCAACAAGGCUUUUUACCAAUUGAAGUUGCAUGUUUUUCUCCAAAAUUUUGUUCCGAGAAGCGUUGUUGUGGUUCAUCCGUCUUAAGCCAGACUUGACCAACAAAUUCAGUGAGCUAUCCGCAAUUUCUCUCAAGCAGUACUAUCCAUAUGGAUAAACUCAUAAAAGUACCUUCGAUGAAGAUCUUUUAAACAAGACACAAAACCAAUUUUAGAUAACUCGAUAUUGUCCUCUCUUUAACAAUCAAUAUAAUCCCGAUAAUAAUAAAUGUUCGAAACAGAAAAAAAA
rnacentral:sRNA from 1 species